ACACAAGUAGCUCCAGAGACAAGCUUCAGCUCCAAUCUACAGCACAGGAUUUGCCUAAUUGUUAAUUGGUUACAAAUUGCUUAAUUACUAUUUUGGCACCAUUCGCGAUUGCAUUCGCAGACGCCUUUUUAGUUUUAAUUUUUGUCGUCAGCGUUCCUGUGCUGUGGCUCCGAGGCUCCCCACGCGACCACCCAGGAACCCAGGAGGCAGUGCCGGGCGCCAAGUGCUGAAGCGCCGCGAGUCCCCGGCCUUUCUUCGGGACAGUCCCCGCAGCAGCAGAGGGGACCACAGCGUGUACAAGGGGCGUGUGUGUGUGUGUGUGUCUGUGUGCGCGCGCGCACCCCGAGCCGCGACACAACCACCAUUUCUUCCUGGCUUUCAGGGCAACCGUUUGGCUAGGGUCCCCGGUCGGAGUCCCAGCUCUGCAGCGCUCGUUCGAGAGCCGUUCGCUUAACGGGGAGGAGCGAGACAUUUUCGCACCUCUCAUCGCCCGAGCCUGGCUGCUCUGCUCGGAUCCAGGAGCUCCUGUCUAGACCUAACUCCUCAUGCUCCCGGACAGACAAGCCCCGGACCCCGCGCUUUCUCCCAUCUCCACGACGGUUGCGCUCUGAGCGCGGCAACUCAGCUCCGGAGCGCCCCGGCUACAGGCUGCCCCGCGCGCCGCUCACCUGUCGGCGGCGCCACUCCCACGGGUUCCUGGAAACGCCGGGUAACUUGGCGGGGUCAGGGGCUUCAUCGCCCCCUCCCCCUCCGCGAGGCCCCAGCACCGCUCAGACCCUCCCUCCUCCCCAGCUCUGCUUGCUCUCCCAACCGCGCUAGCCCGAGCAUCUGCAGCUCGAGUCCCGCAAAUCCGCCGCUCCCGCCUCUCCUCCUGCAGCGCGGGACUUGGAGACUUUCCCAUCCAGCGCCUCUGGGCACCAAGACCAGUCGCCGCCGCCAAACUCCCGCUGGGCAACCCCUGCGCAGCGCGGGCCCGGAGGAUCAAUGACUUUUAGUGACCUCUGCUGGAACCCCUGAACCCAGAGGGAAAAAAGUGAGCUUACUUUUUGGAGGAAAAAAAAAAAAAAAGCAAGCAGCAAGGUUGUGGAUGAAUCUACAAUUCUAAUUUAAAAUGUAGGCUGGUCACCUUAAGUAAUGCGUCAGAUGCAAUCAAUAUUGUUCAAUUUCUCCAAAAGUAGAAUCUGCACUGUUUUAAAGCCACCUAGCAUCGGGAAAACAAGGCAGCUCAUUGAUACCAGCUUGUGUAAUUAGCCUAACUAAAUGGAACAUGCUUAUCUGUGUUCUUAGAUUCCCUUUUCUUCUUCCAGCACAAUAUUAACUAAAAUUUUAUUCAAGAAUGAGAAUUGAGCAAGUGCUGGGCUGGGAACUUCUAAAUCUGCUCAUUUUAGUGUCAGGGUUAAUGGUUCCAGCUGAUGAGAAUGGAGGCAUCAAGCCUUUCUGUCUUUAAUUUGUAGGCACUGUUAUGAAUAAAAAUAAAUACAUAUGCUACUCACUUGACUUAAAAGAUUGAUCAGACUUUUUUCUUUGACUAACCCUUCCAUC